rnacentral:rRNA from 1 species
AUUCCAGCUCCAAUAGCGUAUAUUAAAGUUGUUGCAGUUAAAAAGCUCGUAGUUGGAUUUCUGGUUGGUACGGACGGUCCCGAGUCAUCGGCGAACUGUGUGUGCCGACCUUCCUCUCGGGGGCUGCGUGGUGCUUCACUGUGCUGCGUGGAAUUCGAGACCUUUACUUUGAAAAAAUUAGAGUGUUCAAAGCAGGCCUUUGCUUGAAUACAUUAGCAUGGAAUAAUGGAAUAGGACUUUUGUUCUAUUUUGUUGGUUUCUAGGACAGAAGUAAUGAUUAAUAGGGACAGUUGGGGGCAUUAGUAUUUAAUUGUCAGAGGUGAAAUUCUUGGAUUUAUGAAAGACUAACUACUGCGAAAGCAUUUGCCAAGGAUGUUUUCAUCG